GAUGUCUUGAGUGGUGUUUUCUUAUUUCCCUUCCUCGGAUAGUAGCAGAAAGCAUCAAGAUAGAGUUCUUGAUGCAAGUUCUGUCCUGUGCAACUUGUGCAGCCAUGAGUUAGCUACUGAACCUCCUAAGCCCCCAGUUUUCCUAUGAGUCUCUGGGGUUAUGCUUGUUAUGUGUUGAUGUAGGCAGUUACUCUGAUGAUAAUGUUCACACUUCACCAGAGCCUAAGUACUACCUAUUCCCUUUGUUGCUCCAGGGCCAUUGUCUAGCCUCACUUCUGGUCUUGGCAUCUCUGCACACCCACGUUUGUCGUUCUUGCUCAUUUCAUCUUACUGUUGUGUCAUCCCAUUUCUGUAAACCUCUACAGACAGUUGUGUCUGUUUAUGUCAUUGUUGCUAAGUAUGUUCUACUUUCUUUGCAUAGGCAUGAUCUUGCUCCUCCUCCUUCUCUCCCACACAAAGGUUAUGGAGGAUCAAAGAUCAAGGUAGAAGCAUAGCAUGAUUUGCAUUCAUGCCCUUGGGGUAGUUUUUGGGCACUUUGUCUUGGGGCAUCCUGUACAUACUACAAGAUCUGUGUGUUUGAGAUACGGUGUGCAUACUGUUCUAUCUUUCCUUGAGCCUUUACAUAGUUUUAUGUCUGUUCUUUUGGAGGACUUGGUGUGUCCUUCUAUAUCUUUAUAUAAGUUGUGGCUAAUCCCAUGUCUAUGAACCUGAAAACAUCGUGGGUAUGUCCAUCUCUGUCCCUAAGGCCUACCCUACUUUGGCACUUUCAUAUUUCUCCUUAGGAUAUACUGUCAGAACGACAAAUGAAGGAAAGUCACUGAUGAAUGGGUGAGCAGGCCGGGGAGACGCAGAUACCUGUGACCAUAGAUGAAGAUUUGUUUGUUUAUUCAGACUUGCUUUAUGCUUAUUUCCUUGUUGGUCAAUUGGUGCCCCCAGUAGCCAGAUCAAGUGCUGUGAUAAAACUACUCAUGGGUUUAACCUAGAAACUGACUCAGUUAUGUGUGGGAAUUCUCCAGGAUAACAGAACUCUUCUUUACAAUUACGUGAGAAUUUCACCUUUUAUUGACUAGUAAAAUGAUCUGCUGUCCAGUGAAUGUGUAUGCACAGGUGUUUCUCCAUUGGUACUUUGUAGAAGUUUUCCAUAUCAUCAUAUCUCAUUUCUAAACUUUGACACUAUGGUACUUUGAAUAGGAAUGACCGCUAUAGAUUCAUGUGUUUGAAUACUUGGCCAUAAGGAGUGGCACUAUGAGGAGGUGUGACCUUGUUGGAGUAGGUGUGGCCUGUGGAAGGAAGAGCAAAGAAACUGGGCAACAUAACCAGACUCAUGGCCAUACUGUAGAGCAGGAUUCUAAGCAGCAAUCCAUAAAGGCAGGCGGCAGGCAGAAGCAGGCAACACAGGGUCCCUGGCAUGGAUGCCUCCUUCUGCAUGACAAGAAUGGCUGAAUGAACCACAGUUCCUGGAGAUACUUUAUCUUAUUACAUGCAUGCUGCUGAGAGAAAGGAGCAGUCAACAAUGAACUUCAGCAUAUGUUGCUUCUAUAUCAAUGUCACUUUUUUACAUUUGAAUAUGUGUUUUAUUGAGGAGAAUUUCAAAUAUGAGACUACUAGAUUUAUAUCAUCUUUCCCCUCCCAGCUCUCCCCUUGAACUCCUCUAUUCCCCAGGUCUGUCCACUUCCUUCUUUACUUUAUGUAUAUGUGUGUGCUUGAUUGCAUGUUUUUACGUGCAGCAUGAACCUGCAGGAGCUGGCACAGAGCAGAAGAGGGCAUAAAUUCCCUGGAACUGGAGUUGCAGGUGACUGGGAGGCAGUGUGGGCUCUGGCAGCAAAGCUGAGGACCCUGCAAGUGCAGGAAGUACUCUUACUGCUGAUCCAUAUGUAUACAGGAAAGUAAUAAUAUAGGAAAGUGAUAAAGGAAAAUAAUAAUGAUUAUUACAAAAAUUAUGGAAAUUUGAACACAAAAGAAAUUAAUCUCCCAUAAUAGUAAAUAUUUAGCUAUUCUUAACUUUUAUCCUCAUGUCUUCCAAUGCUUUUUAAUAUCCAAACAUAAUUUUUAUUAUCAAAACAAUCUGCUAUGUAUAGUAUGACAGACUGUUUUUUUUAUUUAGCAAAAUAUCAUAACAUUUUCUAUGCUAAUAAAUAUUUUUCUGCUGUUGGGCUUUGGAGAGUAACUUGAUAGCUGUCAUAUUAAGGUGCUGGAAUUUAAUUACCCUGUUCUUUCAUAUUUUUAUCCCUAUAUUUUGCUGAUGGUUUUCAUAUGAUUAAUGGUGUUGGUAUUGAACAUUCCAGAAAUGUGAACAAAUUAAUUCCUUUGCAUUAGUAUCUAUGUGAAGGAUAACUUGGGAGUUGUUUUUCCUCAAGUUACUAUAGAGUUUUAUACCUUGAAAAGGGAAACCUUGGCAGUCUGUCACUUGGAGUGGUUUCUGUGGCAGCUUUCCUCUAAAUGAGCCAGCUCUUCUUCAUGCCUGCGGGAGCAGGCACCACUCAUUCACACACGAGAGCCCUCUGCUUCCCUAUGCUCUGGCUUUACGUGCUAAUGUAUCAGGCAUAAGGAACACAAUUCUGACACAAAUUGACUUUGAAAAGUUGCUUCCGAAACCUUUAGAAGUGCUGUUCUUCAACUAGUGUGGUUGAGAAUCUGGGAAGGAUGUUAGAGGUAGGAUGCAGGCAAGAUAGCACAGAAUGCUGACUUAGCUAAUAGAAACCCAGUCGCUAAUACAGACAGGCAGAGCAUGUGCUCUGAUUUGCAAAGUACAGUUAGCCUAAUUGAUUUCUGCAUACUUGUGGAUAGGGAUCUGCCCUCUUCCAUUUAUUUUCCUCUUGACAAGUAGGAUGUGAAAUGUUGUUCCAUGCCUUUCUAAUUUAAAUGUUGCACAUGUUGAGACCUGAUAUUGCCAGCCGUUUUAAGCUUGGCCCCAAACACAGCACAUUGUUGUUAUUAGCCUUCAUCAGUUGGUUACAGCCAACAUUCUAUUUGGAACUAUAAGAAGUAUAAAUCUCCGUUAUAGACAUAACCUAUUCCUGCCAUAAAACAGAUAUAGCGAGAAUGCCGGGCUAAGUCUCCUGGGUGAAUUGCUUUUGUUGCCCUCAUUACUCUGACUAGGUCAGGAGUGCUUACUUUGAGACUGUUCUUGGGAAAUAAUGUUUGAAUUUAAGUUAGCAUAUGUAUGUUAAAGGUGCUUUAAAGGGAGUAUCGAGACAAAUUAAGAUCAAGACAGCAAAGUUUAUGUUCUUGAGGAUUUUGUGAUUGAGCUGACAAAGGGGCACAUAUAAGCCUGGUGCUGUAGAGAGCAUAUCCAUGCGUCAAGAACAGAGGAGCUUAGAGGGGAGCAGGGCAUCACCUCACAGCCUAUACUGUGGACUAUGUGUGCUGUCCCUGGAGACACGGGCCUGCAUCCCAAGGACACCAAGGAACCAUUCUGUCUCCCUAACACUUACUACCUUUUGUCAAGGGCAUGUAGAUAUCCUGGUGGUCAACAAUUCUUUUAAAAUUACAUUUUGUUUUAUUAUUUAUUAUAGUUUUAUUAUAAUGCAUAUUUAUUUUCAAUGAGUAUAUGUUCCUAACAAAGGGUAUUUGUAUAUUUUUUCUUAUUGUUUGAGAAAUCUGUGUAUCUAUACAAUGUGAUUUUUUUAAAUAUAAUUUUAAAUUUUCUUGAAAAUACAAUUUUUUGUACAACAUACUCUGAGCAUAAUUUAUCCUCUCCCAGCUCCUUCAAGAUCUUCCCACCUUCCUAACUACUCAUCCAUACCACUUUUUCUCUCUACUAGAAAACAAAUAGGCAAAUCCAGAAUAGGAC
rnacentral:lncRNA from 1 species